rnacentral:rRNA from 1 species
GCUUGUCUCAAAGAUUAAGCCAUGCAUGUGUUAGUAUAAACGCCUUUAUACUGUGAAACUGCGAACGGCUCAUUAUAUCAGUUAUAGUUUAUUUGAUACUUUUCGACUAUUGGAUAACCGUAGUAAUUCUAGAGCUAAUACAUGCGCCAAGUCCCGUCUUACGUCGGGAUGUAUUUAUUAGAUUUCAAUCAACACUUUUUGCUGACUCAUGAUAACUUAGCGGAUCGCAGAGGCCUCGCGCCGGCGACAAAUCAUUCAAGUUUCUGCCCUAUCAGCUUUCGAUGGUAGUGUAUUGGACUACCAUGGCAUUCACGGGUAACGGAGGAUUAGGGUUCGAUUCCGGAGAGGGAGCCUGAGAAAUGGCUACCACAUCCAAGGAAGGCAGCAGG